UACGAAGGGGGCUAGCGUUGCUCGGAAUUACUGGGCGUAAAGGGUGCGUAGGCGGCCUUAUAAGUCAGUGCUGAAAUAUCCCGGCUUAACCGGGAGGGUGGCAUUGAUACUGUAGGGCUUGAGUGUAGUCGAGGUAGGCGGAAUUGACGGUGUAGCGGUGAAAUGCUUAGAUAUCGUCAAGAACACCGAUAGUGAAGACAGCUUACUAGGCUACAACUGACGCUGAGGCACGAAAGCGUGGGGAGCAAACAGG
rnacentral:rRNA from 1 species